CAGCUUGGUAAAAGAGGUUGCUAUCUUUAGCAAGUUGCCAAUUUUCUUUCUCGCACGCGCAAAUAUGCGCGCGCGGAGCUCGGUUGCCAUCGCGAAAAGCUAUAUCGACGCUACUCUCGCACGCGCGAGAAGCCUUCCCCCGCGAGAUUUCUAUCGUUCGCGUGCAAUAAAAGAUCGGUCCAGUGCAAGCCGUCGUCCCUAGAUAGCGACGUCGCCAUUCCAUUCAUCUUCUUCAACGCGAUUGGAGUCCAGGUCCAAAGAAGUUGCGCCGCCGUUGUUCGUCUCUUCGUCGCGAAGCCAGGAAUCAGAAUGUUAUUUUCAAGUUGCUUGUGUGGUUUCAUGCUCUUGUGAAGAUGGGCGGCCAACUUGAUGUCGCAGAUGGGCGGCCGCAAUGGAGGAUGGCCACCAGCCGACGGAGACAUGCACCAGCGGCCGAGAGUCGUGAGAAGACUCUUGCGCGACGGCACCGGCUAUUCACGAGUUCGAGGACAGGAAAAUUAUCGGUCAAGUUGUGGGCCUAAUAUUUAAUUUUAGCAAGUCUAAAUAGCAAAUAUUGAAGAGACUCUAUUUUUAAAUUAACUUGUCAUCUCUUUUAGCAAGUUGCCAAAUCAUAAUAUUUACCAAGUGGAUUUUAGCAAACUCUUGGAGAUGCUCGUCCCGGGUCUAAUUCUAAUCGGGACUAAUAUCGUAAACUGAAAGUCCUUUUUCUACUAGUGCCCAUUCCAUAUUAAAGGAGGCGUGGAAUUUCUGGUCCCGUAUAGAUGUCGUUCCUCUUUUUAGUAAUUAAUUGUUACAUAAAUAAACAUGAGCUCUUUCACCAUGGUUGGAAAAGUACCAUGGAUGCU